GUACGUAGUUAUAUAUUCGGUAAUGAUAUCUCAACCCUUCAUUUUAAAUUGAAGGGUUGAUACUGUAUAAACAUGACAGAUAAUGUUUGCAUUAACAUGAGAGAUUCUUAAUCCUACUAAACCAGCUUAUGAUAAUCAUUCUAUUACUACUUCUUGCAAGAGGGAAAGUGGUAUUUUCUUAGCCAAACUCCCUCAUUAAAAUUCCUCGCUUCCUCAAGAAAAUGAAGCUAAAAAGUUCAUUUGAUAAGAUAGAUAGUGCUUAGGAACUAGCAGACGAGGCAUUUAAAUUCAUAGUGCGCAUUGACAUGAAAAAU
rnacentral:misc_RNA from 1 species